rnacentral:lncRNA from 1 species
GCGGACCACACUGAUUAGGUGUGCGGCUGCAUGGGCUUUUGCCCUGAAUGACCGAGUUUCUGACACUCUUGGGCGCGGACCACGUGGAAAGGAGUGCGGACCGCGCAUCUUGACUUGAAAAUUGCAUGGUCUCUGAACUAUCCAGCGCGGCCGUGUGGCAAAGCAGUGCAGACCGCGCAGGUUGACCUAGAAAUUGCCCAGCCUCUGAACUCUCCUGUGCGGCCGCGUGAUAAAUCAGUACGGACCGCACAUGUCAUUUUGUUCCCUACUUCAGUUGUCUUUUGACACUUGGCAGAUUUCACUCCUUUUUGAGCCGAUCUUUGGUAUUUGUCAUCUUGUCACUCAAACCUGCAAUCAAGCGCAACUUGUAAGCAUUUUGGGACUAAUUUAUGGAGUUAAUGCACAAAGUUUGGGUAAGAAUGGGUAUAAAACAUGUAGAAAUCACAGUUAUCACGGUCCUUAAGCCGCUUUUGCGAUCGCGCUUCUACGCGCUUCAACCACAUCUGCGGCAGGUGCGUCCAAGCACCCGCACCUACGAUCCUCACUCCCAGCUCCUUUUCUCGCUUUUGCGAUGACACUACCACUUUUGCAGCUCCUCACCUGCACCCAACGCUCCGCAGGUGCGGUUAUACCAGAACCAAAAAAUCUUCAGCAAUGCAACAUGGAAUAAAAAUGAUCCGAACCUCGUUCAAAACUCACCCGAGCUACUCGGUGUCACACCUCCUUUUUCCUACCCUUGGAAGGGUAUAAGGGAGUUUUUUCAAAUUUAAGUGACAAUCAAAACGGGAUUUAUUAAAAGAUUCAGAGUCGCCACUUGGGAAAUUCAUGGCAUCCCAAGUCACCGGUUCAAAUCCCGAAUCGAGGAAAAGAUUGACACUGUAUUACAAUCUGCGAACACAGAAAUCCAGGUAAGGAAUUCUGUUAACCCGGGAGAAGGUAUUAGGCAUUCCCGGAUUUUGUGGUUCUAGCACGGUCGCUCAACUAUUAUUAUUGGCCUAAUUAUCUGAUUUAAUUAUACGUUUAAAACCUAUUGUGCAUUUUUAGCUUUAGAACCACUUUUAAUUAAGUUAAAUCGCUUUUCAGGAAGAUUCAACGUCAUUUAAAACACGCCUUGAACCACGCCACAUGAAAGUCUAUAACAUAUUUUAUUUAACGUUAUUGGGAAUUGGAGUUGGGUCACAUGAAAUGCACACCCGAGUUUAGGAAGGUAACUUUUUAAAAUAACGCGCCUAAAACAACUACGCACUUUCAAGUUUGCGAGGGCCAUGGAAAUUCAACUAGGUGGCACACCUCGAUUCUAAUUUCAAGGGAUUGUACUCAACUAAAUCAAGGCCGAGAGUUUAUGGAAUAUAAUAGGAGAUAACACUAAGUUUUAUCAAAGUGAUGUACUAGAAUACUGAUAACGUAAUAAAGAACAAUGUAGCUUCGAGUUCAAAUAUUUAGGAAUAGUAAAGCAGCAGGAAGAAAUCAAAGUAGUUAUUCAAUGUAUACUAGUAGUAGUGUAGGUGACAAAAAUAAAGAAAUUUAACAGUGAUCCUAAGGUUACAAGAGCUUGAGUUCGUCAACAAAACCAACUAUUAAAUACAAAUUGGUCACUAACCUUAACAAAAACAGAAAACACACACUGUCAGUUAGAGCAAAUUGGAAAAUAUUAGAGCUAAUAAAUUUACCUGCCGGUCUUGGUCUGAAUUGGCCUAGCAGUAUUAUCAAAUCAAAGCAACAACAGAAACUAAUACAUAAUCUUAACUCACACAUAUUACAUUCAGGCGAUUUCAACCAACUUUAAUUUAUUAAACAACCUAAAUAAAUCUAUCCAAGCAAACAGAAAUUGAAAUUUAGUUUUUGCCUUCAAAAUUCAUCAAGUGAAAUACACCAGGACACUUCCAAUUUCAAUACAAUCAUGUCGUGCUAUUAUACUUAACAUGCUCUGAAGUUACAAAGAAGGUCGUAGGUAAAAUAUCUGGAAUAAUGAAAGAGAACCGAAAUUUUGACCAAAUAAAGAUCAGAAAACUGUAAAUGGAGCUCAGUUAUUAACAAACAAACAUCAAUACAACCUCAACCUUGAGCGAAACCCAUUUUGAAAACCCAGAAAUAUGAAUGAGAGAACUUGCCAUUUGAUGGGAAACAACACUGCUUCUUUUAUGUAAAUUUUGAGCAAGGAUCGACAUAAAAAUGAUUUGUAUUCUAUAUGUUCUUUUCAGGUUUGAGACUGCAGAUUUACCAAUUCAAUGAGGGUCUUCUUUUCUCAAUUUUUCCUUUAGUAGGUGCGGUAGCUUCAUGGGUGUAGGAAAGGGUCUGUUCUUUGAGAGAAUUGGGGGUGAUGGCUCCUAAAAGUUUUCUGGUUUCUUAAGAAGACGAGAGCGCCAUUUUUGUUGUCAAGAGGCCUCAAUAUGGAAAAAUCUGAUCUCUCUUUAGUGUGUUAGGUCUCCUUUUAUGUGAGGGAUUAGGGUAAAG